rnacentral:lncRNA from 1 species
UGACAGUGGAGAUGAUGAGUUUAAUGUUUGAAGUUCUCUUUUACAGUGGCUGCACUCCCACUCAAAGCAGGUUACAGGAUAAACUCUCAAGAGCGGGGAGGUACUUUAAAAGAGUAAUUGGUCUGAGUUGGUAUCAUUUUGCAGCAGGUCUGAGAGAUGUCAAGUGUUCGUUGCAUUCUGCUGACACCCCCUGGUGCCAUUACCAAGCAAGGGCAAAGACUCAUAGCUCCCUGGUCCCCAGCUUGUCUCAGCUAUGGGAGGAAGAAGCCACUUGAUUUGAAUACUGAAGAGUUAAGAGCCAGACCAGAUGGCAAGGGAAAAAGACACAGGAGUGACAGGAAGCAGCUUCAAGUCUGUGGCUGGUGGGGAGGAAGAGAAAAUGUGCCUUUCUUUUUUAUUAUUUUAACUCUCAUGUAUCUGAAAAAUGUCUCAGUGUGUCCUCCGAGAGACUGGGGUGUUUCCCACUUGUCUGCGAAAAAUAUGCCGUGGAGAUGAUGUAGCAAAAUACGUGCAUAGUGUGGUAAAAUAUAUUUUAAAGUCCAGGGAAACAGUCAUCUCAAACUAAUGAUCAUCCUGAAUUGGCCACUCACUUCUGGUACUGACUAAGCAAUAGACUUAAAUCUCAUUUAAAAAUAAGCAUAUG